UUACGGCCAUAUCACGUUGAAAUAUACGUUGUCAUCCGAUCACUGAAGUUAAACAACGUUGAACCUGAUCAGUACUCAGAUGGGUGACCGCUGAGGAACACCACCUGCUGAA